AGCGAACGCUGGCGGCAGGCUUAACACAUGCAAGUCGAGCGGGCAUCCUUGUGGUGUCAGCGGCAGACGGGUGAGUAACGCGUGGGAACGUGCCCUUCGGUUCGGAAUAACUCAGGGAAACUUGAGCUAAUACCGGAUACGCCCUUUUGGGGAAAGGUUUACUGCCGAAGGAUCGGCCCGCGUCUGAUUAGCUAGUUGGUGAGGUUAUGGCUCACCAAGGCGACGAUCAGUAGCUGGUCUGAGAGGAUGAUCAGCCACACUGGGACUGAGACACGGCCCAGACCCAGACGGGAGGAAGCGGUGGGGGAUAUGGGAGAAUGGGUGAAAGGUGGAUACAUCCAUGCCGCGGGAAAGAAGAAGGCGUUAGGGGGGUAAAACGCUCUGCACAGGGACGAUAAUGAAGGGACGGGAGGAAUAAGACGAGGAUAAGUUCGAG
rnacentral:rRNA from 1 species